rnacentral:rRNA from 1 species
AUGGCCGAGGGCGCCGCCCCCCUCCUCCCCACCGCUGGCUACGACGGCGAGGACCGAAUCAGCGCCCUCCCGGACGACCUCCUCCGGGCCAUCAUCUCCUCCGGCCUCCCCGUCACGGACGCCGCCCGCACCACCGCCCUCGCCCGCCGCUGGCGCCACAUCUGGCACUCCACACCGCUCGUCCUCGACGAUGUCGAACUGCACGGGUCCGCCCGUGACGCGAUAGUCUCCCGGGUCCUUGCCGACCACCCGGGUCCCUUCCGCGCCGUCCGCCUAGCCGGAUGCAGGUUCGCCUCCCUGGACCAUAACCUCGCCGAGUGGCCGCGCCUCCUCGUCACCAAGGGCAUUCAGCUGCUCGUCCUCGUCAACAUGCACAUCCAGCCUCAGCGCACCUCCCCGCGCCUCCCCGCUGAAAUCCUCCGCUGCGACUCGCUCCAGCGCCUCUUACUGGGCUUCUGGACGUUCCCCGCCGACGUCUCCCACGUAGCCGAUGUCUUUCUUCCUCACCUCCACAAUCUCAAUAUGUUAAGGAUUGACAUGAGCGAUCAUGACCUGGAGUGCUUGGUUGCUGCCAGCCCCGUUCUGAAGACCCUUUUGCUCGCCCAAAACAAGCCCAAGCAUGUGCGUCUCCGCAGCCAAAGCCUCAAUUGCGUGGUCGUUGGAGGAUCCCCGGUGAAGGAGGUCGUGAUGGAAACGCCGCUCUUGGAUCGCCUUAUCUUGGUGGAACCGCCUCCUAGUGCUGUUGGAGGUGCUGGUAUGAGGGUCAAGAUUACCUGUGCACCCAACCUGCGGGUGUUUGGCUACCUGGAGCCGAGAGCUCACAAGCUGCAGAUCGGCGAUGAUGUCAUCGAGCCAAACAUAAUGGUGAGCCCAAGAACGGUGCUUCCAGGCGUCAAGAUAUUGGCCUUGAAGGUGAAUUUUGGUGUUUUCGAGGAGGUCAACAUGCUUGCCAGCUUCCUUAGAUGCUUUCCCAAUGUUGACAUGCUUCACAUCGAGUCUCUCCUGCACGAUCCAUCCGUACCUGGCUAUGAACCCACUGGGGAGCACCAUGCCAAGUUCUGGCUGGAGGCCAGUCCGAUCAAAUGCUUGCGAUCACAUGUCAAAAGGAUGGUUAUCCACAAAUAUCAAGGGCAUCAAAACGAAUUUGAAUUCCUCAAGUUCAUCUCCAAGGAUGCGCUGGAGCUGCAGUCUUUGGUGCUUGUGCCACCUAAAGAACAAAAUUCCUUGCCGAACGAGGUGAAUGAGAUGAUAGACAGACUGGGGUGUCCACGGUUUCGAGCAUGGGCCUCUAAAGUGUUGCUGGUGUUGACUAAAGUAGACAUUGGUUUUAUUUUGCAGAAAUCAUCCGACCUUACGGUCGACGACCCUUUUCGCUGCUCGAUGCAUGGCUAA